rnacentral:rRNA from 1 species
CGGACAGUGUCUGGUGGGUAGUUUGACUGGGGCGGUCUCCUCCUAAAGAGUAACGGAGGAGCACGAAGGUUGGCUAAUCCUGGUCGGACAUCAGGAGGUUAGUGCAAUGGCAUAAGCCAGCUUGACUGCGAGCGUGACGGCGCGAGCAGGUGCGAAAGCAGGUCAUAGUGAUCCGGUGGUUCUGAAUGGAAGGGCCAUCGCUCAACGGAUAAAAGGUACUCCGGGGAUAACAGGCUGAUACCGCCCAAGAGUUCAUAUCGACGGCGGUGUUUGGCACCUCGAUGUCGGCUCAUCACAUCCUGGGGCUGAAGUAGGUCCCAAGGGUAUGGCUGUUCGCCAUUUAAAGUGGUACGCGAGCUGGGUUUAGAACGUCGUGAGACAGUUCGGUCCCUAUCUGCCGUGGGCGCUGGAGAACUGAGGGGGGCUGCUCCUAGUACGAGAGGACCGGAGUGGACGCAUCACUGGUGUUCGGGUUGUCAUGCCAAUGGCACUGCCCGGUAGCUAAAUGCGGAAGAGAUAAGUGCUGAAAGCAUCUAAGCACGAAACUUGCCCCGAGAUGAGUUCUCCCUGAGACUUAGAGUCUCCUGAAGGAACGUUGAAGACGACGACGUUGAUAGGCCGGGUGUGUA